rnacentral:rRNA from 1 species
GAGUUUGGAUCCUGGCUCAGGAUGAACGCUAGCUACAGGCUUAACACAUGCAAGUCGAGGGGAAACGACAUCGAAAGCUUGCUUUUGAUGGGCGUCGACCGGCGCACGGGUGAGUAACGCGUAUCCAACCUGCCCACCACUUGGGGAUAACCUUGCGAAAGUAAGACUAAUACCCAAUGACGUCUCUAGAAGACAUCUGAAAGGGAUUAAAGAUUUAUCGGUGAUGGAUGGGGAUGCGUCUGAUUAGCUUGUUGGCGGGGUAACGGCCACCAAGGCUACGAUCAGUAGGGGUUCUGGAGAGGAAGGUCCCCCANAUUGGAACUGAGACACGGUCCAAACUCCUACGGGAGGCA